GUUCUCACUUCGGCAGCACAUAUACUAAAACUGGAACGAUACCCAAAAGACUAGCAUGGCCGCUGCACAAGGAUGGCACACGAAUUUGUGAAGCAUUCCAUAUUAAA